rnacentral:sRNA from 1 species
GCUGGGCACACUGGUAUGCACUUGUAAUCCCAGCUACUUGGGAGGUGGAAGCAGGAGGACUGCUUGAGCCCAGGAGUUCAGAGCCAGCCUGGGCAACAUACUGAAACCUGUGUCAA